CGCAAUGGGCGAAAGCCUGACGGAGCAAUCUCGCGUGAGGGAUGACGGCCUAUGGGUUGUAAACCUCUUUUUUCAGGGAGGAACAAAAUGACGUGUACCUGAAGAAUAAGCAUCGGCUAACUCCGUGCCAGCAGCCGCGGUAAGACGGAGGAUGCAAGUGUUAUCCGGAAUCACUGGGCGUAAAGCGUCUGUAGGUGGUUUGAUAAGUCAACUGUUAAAUCUUGAAGCUCAACUUCAAAAUCGCAGUCGAAACUACUGGACUAGAGUAUAGUAGGGGGAAAGGGAAUUUCCAGUGGAGCGUUUAAAUGCGUAUAUAUGGGAUUUUACACCGGUGGCGAAGGCCCUUUACCGUGCUAGGAGUUUCCUUUUUCCACCAUAUCUA
rnacentral:rRNA from 1 species